AAAAGAAAGAAAGAAAAUGCAGACUCACUUGAAAAAUAAUGACAAUACUAAGUAUUAGUAAGGAGUGGUUAUUAAUGGUGCUCCAGUGGAGCAACUGGAAUUCCGAUAUAUUACUAAUGAGAAUGUACAGUGGUAGAGCCAUUUUGGAAAACUGGUAAGUUUUAGAAAAUCAAACCCACUCUUAACUGUAUCACCCUGUCUUCCUCUCCUCUGCAUUCACUCUAAAGAACUGAAAACAUAUGGCAACACCAAGGUUUGGACACCAAUGUUCAUAGCAACAUUAUUCACAUUAGCCCUCAACUGGAAACACCCCAAGUGUCCCUUAGCAGGUGGAGUGAAUAGACACAUUGUAGUGUAUCCAUGUGGUGGAAUACUACUCAACACUAAAAAUGAACAAACUGCUGAGAUAUGCAAAACUGAUCAGCCUAAAAAUGUUAAAAAUACGCUAAACAGAAGAAGCCACCCACAGAGAGUACAUACUCUGUUCUUCUAUUUAUAGGAUAUUCUGGAAGUGGGGAAAUUAUAGGGAGAGGAAACAGAUCAGUUGUUACAAUGGGCUGAGGGGUGAAGAGACUGAUGACCAAGGGGGCAAGGGUGAUAGAAAACUUUUAAAUCUUCAUCAGAGUGGUGAUUACAUGUAUGAUUUGUCAAAACCCAUUGAAGUGGCUGCAUUUAUUGGAUGUAAAUUAUAUCUCCAGAAAGUUGAUUCUUUAAAGGGCAUCAGGAUACAGCUUGGAAGCAGUUACCCAUUUAUCUCCAGAGACCCCUAAUGAGGAUACACCGCUGUGUCCACCCUGGGACCACAGGAACCUAUCAGCUCAGGAGCAUUGGAUUGAUCUGGAAAAGUUCCUGGAGAAAUUAGCUGUAUGUUUUAAACCACUGCCACUGUCUACUUAGGAGAUAAGUAAACUUUGUUUUACUCUUGGAAUGCGGGCAAGCUUGUGGUAUAAGUUAAGAGCAAUAAUUAUGGUAACAUGGAUAUGGGAAUGGCAAUUAUCUUAACAAGUGUGUAGUUUUGAUUUGUUAAAGCAGCCCCUACAUUUUACUAGGUCCUAGGAGAUCAAAUACAUUUGGGAAAUGCUACACUUUCUGAUGCCCUCUUGACGAUCCAGAAGGAAUAUUUGAUCGUUAGAGUUUAAAAGCACUGUAUUUAAAAAAGGAAAACAGUAUUCCCCAAUCUUUCAUGAUCGAAUCUUCCUUUUUUUUUUUUUCCCUUACCUUUUGCUUCCCACACAGGACAUUUUAAAAUUUCACAGAACAUACUUCAGAAAACUCUAUGUAAAAUGAAAAGAUUUAAUUGCUACGGACACACUCCCCAAAGGUCACUGUUCUUAGUGCCACAAGUGUGAAGUGAUGACACAUGACACACUGAAAUAACUUUUAGGGACAUUGCUUGUUUUAAUUCACUAAUAUUAUAUCUGUAAGUAAGCUUUGGAUGCACAUCAAGGUAAAACAUUUCAUUUCUACACGUAGCGUUAAUUUGACACAGUAUGAACUUCCAAUUUAUAUUCAUAAUUUAUCCAUUUGCAGAUGCAAAAUUUGGUACCAAAAUGAUCACGUGGAAAAGCAGGAUGAUGGUGGCAACAUAAACCACUCUGGGACAAUUAGCCACCUGGCCUUCAAUAGAUGCAGUGGACUAACUGGUUUGCAUGCUGGUGAAGGCUGGAACUAUUUCAGUGUUUCUCCUUGAUAUCAUUUGUGGAGGAAAUUUUUUUAGACAUAAUUUUAGGGGCAAAAACAGGAAUAUUAAAAGAACAUAUGAACUCUUCCUCAAAGUUAAUGUUUAGAAAACUUCUCAGUGACUGGCACAAACUUGUUUGAUCUAAGCCAUUGUUUCAGCUUUCAAAGGUGCAAAUAACACAUCCACUGUACAUCCUUGUUCCAUAAUUCUGAUUUUCUUUAUGAGAAGUUUUCUCCUUAUUUACCUGAAAGGGUUAGAUGUUUAAUUUCGUCAAGACGUAUUUAAGUAUAAUUUUAUGAUUUCUUUUUACACGCAUGUCUUCAAUUAAGAGGAUAUGCAUGUUCUUUAUAAUCAUCAGCUGACCCUUGUCAGUGGCUUUGGAAAAAACAUGUACAUCAAGUCGGUGAAGAAACUGUGCUGUGAUCAUCUGAAGGACAGCUAGGGGAAUCAUAUAUCAUGUUGGAUGUUACCAAAGGAUGACUGGAAAGAAAGAAGAAGGGAGGAAAGAAACAGGAAGGAAAGAAGGGAAGAAAGGAAGGAAGAAGUGUUUGUAAAAUGCUAUGUGACAAGUUCUACAUCUGUGCCCUGUUGGUGACUCUGCCCAGCUGCUCUGAAGGGGACUCCUGGGGCUUUGAGAGGAUGUAGGGGGCCCAGGCCCGACUCGUCAUGGAGACCCUCAUGUGAUUCUGUGUCCAGAUGAAUGUAGACCCACUGGACUACCAUUCUCACCAUUAAAGAAUUAGUCUGUAUAGUCUUGUGAAUGCUAAAUAAUAACAUUUAUGUCUAUUGGAGAAACGUUUCAUUAGAACAAAUACACAUUUUUGAAAUAAAUGCUCUGCUGGGGUUGAUCACAGGGGAAAAAUCCUAAAAUAUCCCAGUAAGUACUCUCA